CGAAGAGUUUAAGGAGGCUCUCGGAGUGUGGAGGUGCAAGGUCCACCCCUGAAAGCGCGUGUCUCCUUAAAUUUUGUGCUGUUUCUCCUGCUAGUCUCGCCCCAGUCCCAGCCUGAGUCCUGACCACAGCGGGUGCAACUUCUGAAUGACCUGGCUCCUCCACAGCUUUUGGGGCUGCCCGCCCAUGUAGAAGCCCACCUCCCACGAGCAAGGUGAAUCUCCUGUCACUUGAAGAUCAGAAAUUGAGAUCUUUCCUGUUCAAUUAAGGAUACGUUUCCAGUAAGUGCAGACAUGGAAGAAAAUAGCAGACAAACAGUGGCUAAGAUGGCAGACUCUGCAUUUGAUCUCCUUAAAGUGCAGAUCCGACUCUAGAGAGCUAUGCUGGGCCUGGGACUUUGCACUUGUAACUAGUCACCAGAUGAUGCUACUGUCCUUGGUCAGGAACCACAGGAGUUACUUAGCUCCUGUAAAGAGGAGACCUCGAACUCAGGACUGGCUGCACAAUUUGCAGGUUCCAAUACAGAAUGAAAAGGUCGAGCCCUGUAAAUGGUGACUGUCAAUGAGAUCAUCUGGAAGGCCUGAAGGCUGGACCCAUGGCCUGUCUGCUACCCAUACACUUAUGCAUGUGCAGGCACGCGCACACACACACACACACACACACACACACGUGCACUCAUGUGUGUCAAACUCCCAUUGAUUCUCUAACUGCCAGUUUGUCCCAAUCAGUGUCUUGGUCCAGGAGUGAGAUGACAAGUAAAAUAAACAUACUUCCUCUUUA